AAUGAACGCUGGCGGCGCGCCUAAUACAUGCAAGUCGAGCGAGAAGACGUAGCAAUACGUUUGUAAAGCGGCGAACGGGCGAGGAAUACAUGGGUAACCUACCCUCGAGUGGGGAAUAACUAGCCGAAAGGUUAGCUAAUACCGCGUACGCUCCUUGGACUUCGGUUCAGGGAGGAAAGCGAUACCGUGGGUAUCGCGCUCUUGGUUGGGCUCAUGUCCUAUCAGCUUGUUGGUGAGGAACGGCUCACCAAGGCUUCGACGGGUAGCUGGUCUGAGAGGACGAUCAGCCACACUGGCACUGCGACACGGGCCAGACUCCUACGGGAGGCAGCAGUAAGGAAUAUUGCGCAAUGGGCGAAAGCCUGACGCAGCGACGCCGCGGU
rnacentral:rRNA from 1 species